rnacentral:rRNA from 1 species
GACGAACGCUGGCGGCGUGCCUAACACAUGCAAGUCGAACGAAACGGCCGGGUCUUUGGGCGCCCGGCUUGGUAACGCGUGGGGAGCUUCACGUAUGUACCGCAUACCUCCCCGACAGGGAUGCUAACGCCGGAUAAGGUCUUCUGGCCAAAGAUCUAUUGCCGUUGGAUGGGCCCUGGUUGGAUUCGCUAGUUGGUAGGGUAAUAGCCGAGCAAGGCGAGGAUGCAUAGCUGGUCUGGGAGGAUGAUUAUCCACACUGGGAGUAAGACACGGCCCAGACUCGUACGGGAGGGAGCAGAGGGGAAUAGAGGACAAGGGGGGAAGGGCUGAUCAAGCCAGGCCGGGUGAGUGAUGAAGGCCGUAGGGUAGAAAAGCGCUUUUACCCGGGAUGAUAAUGACGGUACCGGGAGAAUAAGCUCCGGCUAACUACGUG